GCUGCCACAAGCGGAUUAGGCGAAUCCAACCCUGGUGGGUGGAUUGACGAAGAAAUAUCUCCCUCGUAGCCCCUCUCUCUCCCUCGUCUCUUCUCACCCCCCCUCCUCCCCUCCGUGCCGCUGCCUCGGAUUCCCCCCUCCCUCUCGGCCGCAAGCGCCGGCGCCGACAUGGUAUGGAAGCGGCUGCCACGUAUUCUCACCCCACGUUCCCGAUCUGGAGAGGGAGGGAAAUACACGGCCACAUGUGCGUGCGCCGUCGGGAUGUUUCUUGAGGGUAGCAUCAACCCUUGUAGGCACUGCUAGCAGCAGCAGCAGGCCUCAGUGCCGACGAAGGGAUGGCACAUGGCGCCGUCGUCGUCGAUCUAGGUAGAAGGGCAAGCCAAGAUGAACCUCUCGCAUUAUCUAGGAAGUUGUCAUGGAAGACGCCGAAGAAAAGUCCAUGAAUUUUGAUAGAGAUGGAGAACUGGACGUGCUUUGUUUCCUUGCCUUGACCGCAUCUAAUUUUGGGGAAAAGAGAGAGGAAUUUGAGAUAGGUGGACAACCUGAAGAUCUUUGAACGUUCAGGAGCAGCCAUAUCCUCAGUGCUAUGCCAGCCUCCUCGCCACUACUGUCAUGUGGAUGUGACUAUUGUUUGGCUGCUGGUGAGAUGGGCAUAGUUUCCUCCGGGUUCAUGCAUCGUGAUGGAAGGGAUCGGCUUUGGCGGUGUCCGGUGCUGGCAUGUCAUGUGAUUAGAGCAUAGGAAGCUAACAUGAUGUUUGGAACUCGGUGGUCAUGCUCAUUGACUAGAUGCUGCGCCUCAUGUCACCCCGGGCGUCGAAUUGCUUGAUAGCAGAGCUCACGGAGUAAAAAUAUGUCUGCAAGUACUUGUUUGCCAUAUGCCUGCCCACUCCUCCGUCUCAUCAAGCUUUCUUUUAUUUCUCUAAAUUUGUUGUGUGCAUGUAUGUGAAAAAAUAACAGGAAUAGGCCAUGCUAAGGCUUUGGCAAAGAACAUUCUUUCCCUUGCUUAUGAAAAUUUUGGUCCUUUAAUAUUGAUUCCAU
rnacentral:rRNA from 1 species